UACGAAGGGUGCAAACGUUGCUCGGAAUUAUUGGGCGUAAAGCGCACGUAGGCGGCUGGCUAAGCGGGUGGUGAAAGCCCGGGGCUCAACCCCGGGUCGGCCAUGCGAACUGGUCAGCUGGAGCACGGUAGAGGCACAUGGAAUUCCGGGUGUAGCGGUGGAAUGCGUAGAGAUCCGGAAGAACACCGGUGGCGAAGGCGGUGUGCUGGGCCGUAGCUGACGCUGAGGCGCGACAGCGUGGGGAGCAAACAGG
rnacentral:rRNA from 1 species